AGCACGGGAGCAAUCCUGGUGGCGAGUGGCGAACGGGUGAGUAAUAUAUCGGAACGUGCCCAGUCGUGGGGGAUAACGCAGCGAAAGCUGUGCUAAUACCGCAUACGAUCUCUGGAUGAAAGCGGGGGACUCGCAAGAGCCUCGCGCGAUUGGAGCGGCCGAUAUCAGAUUAGCUAGUUGGCGGGGUAAAGGCCCACCAAGGCGACGAUCUGUAGCUGGUCUGAGAGGACGACCAGCCACACUGGAACUGAGACACGGUCCAGACUCCUACGGGAGGCAGCAGUGGGGAAUUUUGGACAAUGGGCGCAAGCCUGAUCCAGCAAUGCCGCGUGCAGGAUGAAGGCCUUCGGGUUGUAAACUGCUUUUGUACGGAACGAAACGGAGAGCUCUAAUAAAGCUUGCUAAUGACGGUACCGUAAGAAUAAGCACCGGCUAACUACGUGCCAGCAGCCGCGGUAAUACGUAGGGUGCGAGCGUUAAUCGGAAUUACUGGGCGUAAAGCGUGCGCAGGCGGUUAUAUAAGACAGAUGUGAAAUCCCCGGGCUCAACCU
rnacentral:rRNA from 1 species